ACUAUAAAUACCCUCCUCCAAAUCCGAAAACACACGCACAAAUCAGUGGAGAAAGAGGGAGAGGAGAGCAAAAGCACAAUGGUGGUUUAGAGAGAGAAACUUAGGUGGAUUUCGGUUUUUCACACACCCGAACGCCAAUUCGAGAUACACCAGCUUUAGCACGACCACGAGCACCUCCAAACUAAUCCCCAAUCACCCGAAGUCAGCCCCGAGGUUCCCCGUUGCUGCCGUCGUCUUCUCCAUUUAGCCGAAAAUCCAAAAAUCGUGUUUUAAGCUUUUCGGCCAGAAACGAGGGUGAAAGGAUUUGCAUUUUCUGAGGAAAUACUCAAAAACUUGACAAGAACGACUUUCUCAAGUCUAUCAACACUAGAGGAUGGAACCCGCUGUGACCGCGGCAAUCAUUACUGGAAUUGCAACAAUUGUUGCAGCCAUUGUGACAGCUAAAUAUAUGGCCAAAACAGUUGCAAGAAUGGAGGAUCGACUUCAGCUAUGGAUGGAUGAAAUGGAAGCUAAGAAAAAGACCUAUUGAAAAAUUAAGUGCCUUUCAGAUGAAGGCUCAAAAAGCUGAAACUUGCCAAUUUUCGGCACUGACUACAGAGUUGCUCCUCUAUUUUAUCUUGCUUCUAUGUGAAAUUGUUGCCAGUUAGAACCAUGAUUACACGUUGUGUUUUCAUGUGUAAUUGGAAUAAAUUUGCACGUUGUGUUUUCGUUCAAUUUGUGAAUUUGACCUGAAAAUUUUUUGCUUUAGGAGAAUUGAUUCCAU